GGAGAGGUGUCCGAGUGGUUGAAGGUGGUAGUCUCGAAAACUGCUGCACCGCAAGGUGCCGGGGGUUCGAAUCCCCCCCUCUCCGCCA
rnacentral:tRNA from 1 species